CUACGGGGUGCUCCAGUGAGGAAUAUUGCACAAUGGGGGGAACCCUGAUGCAGCAACGCCGCGUGGAGGAUGACGCGUUUCGGUGUGUAAACUCCUUUUAUAUGUCAAGAAAAUGACGGUAGCAUAUGAAUAAGCACCGGCUAACUCCGUGCCAGCAGCCGCGGUAAUACGGAGGGUGCAAGCGUUACUCGGAAUCACUGGGCGUAAAGGACGCGUAGGCGGGUUGGAAAGUCAGGUGUGAAAUCCUACAGCUUAACUGUAGAACUGCACUUGAAACUUCUAAUCUAGAGUAUGGGAGGGGGAGAUGGAAUUAGUGGUGUAGGGGUAAAAUCCGUAGAUAUCACUAGGAAUACCUAAAGCGAAGGCGAUCUCCUGGAACAUUACUGACGCUAAGGCGCGAAAGCGUGGGGAGCAAACAGGAUUAGAUACCCUAGUAGUC
rnacentral:rRNA from 1 species